rnacentral:rRNA from 1 species
GGUAAGUCUGUGCCGGCGGCAGGGGGAAUACGGAGGGGGCGAGCGUUAAUCGGAUUUACUGGGCGUAAAGCGCGCGUAGGUUGCUAAUUAAGUCAAAGGUGAAAUCCCCGAGGUUAACUUGGGAAUUGCAUUCGAGACUGGUUGGCUAGAGUAUGGGAGAGGAUGGUAGAAUUCCAGGUGUAGCGGUGAAAUGCGUAGAGAUCUGGAGGAAUACCGAUGGCGAAGGCAGCCAUCUGGCCUAAUACUGACACUGAGGUGCGAAAGCAUGGGGAGCAAACAGGAUUAGAUACCCGUGUAGUC